rnacentral:rRNA from 1 species
CCUACGGGAGGCAGCAGUGAGGAAUAUUGGUCAAUGGCCGGAAGGCUGAACCAGCCAAGCCGCGUGAAGGACGAAGGUGCCAAGCAUUGUAAACUUCUUUUGUCAAGGGACAAAAUCAGGCUCGAGAGCCUGACCGAGGGUACUUGAAGAAAAAGCAUCGGCUAACUUGGGGCCAGCAGCCGCGGUAAUACGGGGGAUGCGAGGGUUAUCCGGAUUUAUGGGGUUAAAAGGGAGCGAAGGGGGAGGUUUAAGUCAGCGGGAAAAGCCCGGGGCUCAACCCCGGCGUGCCGUUGAAACUGGCUGUCUUGAGUGGUCGAGAGGUAGGCGGAAUGCGGGGUGUAGCGGUGAAAUGCUUAGAUAUCGCGCAGAACUCCGAUGGCGAAGGCAGCAGACCGGCGGCGAACUGACGCUGAGGCACGAAAGCGUGGGUAUCGAACAGGAUUAGAUACCCGUGUAGUC